CUGGAUCGCAGUCCCAACGCGCGUGGGCUGGCUCAAUCGAAAAGCGAGAAACGUCCCAGCCGGAAGAACGGGGAAAACGGGACCCGAGAGAAGCCGCGCGACCAGUCGGAAAGCUCGAGGAAAAGCGAAAAAAAUGCGGUCGGAAGCCGCUUCGCGAUACGAAAUCGAGAGAGGCAGCCGCACAAUAAGCAUCAGCAGCCGCGCGCCCUCGGGCGAGCGCCUUGUCAUUCUCCAUUCCGGGGUAGGACGGCGCAAAUAGACCUCUCUCUCUACGUUUCAGCAGUCGCAAAGUCGUGUUUAAUCGGUCCGAAAGAGGGGUGUCCCUCUGUCGUGCUGCUACCCUCGGUUCUCCCACUCCGGUCCUGCUACCUGCUGUCCUUUAUUUUUUUCCCAAAGAGCUGGCAAAAACGUAGACAGACCCCCUCUCGGCGGAUGGGAUUUCUUCGGCAUGUUGCCCAGUGCUGUCUCGACCGGCGCCUAUUUGCGUGCGUUCUACACGGUCCAAACGCCGUGUUUUCCUCUGCAUCAACUGCUCAGAGUCCUUUACACACACAUCCUUUCGAAGCCCCGAAAGCUCGGCAGCGGCAGCCCGCUCUCCGUGGACGCCAGCCUGAUACCCCUUUGGCAAAGGACACGCCUUCCGUCAUCACCCUCGUCUCCACCCUUUUUGCCCCAGCGUUCAUAACUAGUUCACGCCUUUCGUGUGAUCACAGGCUCUUCCGCUGAGUAACGGUCAGUUCCCCCCUCCGCCGCAACCACACACACACUUUUUCCCCAUUUCCAGCUGUGCCGGUCGCUUCCCGCUUUUGGUUUUAGCUCCCAGUUCGGUAUCCGCCUCGUGUUUUGCGGAAAACUGGGGCUGGUGGAGUU
rnacentral:lncRNA from 1 species